rnacentral:rRNA from 1 species
AACGAACGCUGGCGGCAGGCCUAACAAAUGCAAGUCGAACGCCCUAGCAAUAGGGAGUGGCAGACGGGUGAGUAACGCGUGGGAACGUGCCUUUCGGUUCGGAAUAACUCAGGGAAACUUGAGCUAAUACCGGAUACGCCCUUCGGGGGAAAGAUUUAUUGCCGAAAGAUCGGCCCGCGUCCGAUUAGCUAGUUGGUGAGGUAAAGGCUCACCAAGGCGACGAUCGGUAGCUGGUCUGAGAGGAGGAUCAGCCACACUGGGACUGAGACACGGCCCAGACUCCUACGGGAGGCAGCAGUGGGGAAUAUUGGACAAUGGGCGCAAGCCUGAUCCAGCCAUGCCGCGUGAGUGAUGAAGGCCCUAGGGUUGUAAAGCUCUUUCGCCAGGGACGAUAAUGACGGUACCUGGAUAAGAAGCCCCGGCUAACUUCGUGCCAGCCGCCGCGGUAA